rnacentral:rRNA from 1 species
CAGUAGCCGCGGGAAUACGUAGGGUGCAAGCGUUAAUCGGAAUUACUGGGCGUAAAGCGUGCGCAGGCGGUUCUAUAAGACAGAUGUGAAAUCCCCGGGCUCAACCUGGGAACUGCAUUUGUGACUGUAGAGCUGGAGUGCGGCAGAGGGGGAUGGAAUUCCGCGUGUAGCAGUGAAAUGCGUAGAUAUGCGGAGGAACACCGAUGGCGAAGGCAAUCCCCUGGGCCUGCACUGACGCUCAUGCACGAAAGCGUGGGGAGCAAACAGGAUUAGAUACCCCCGUAGUCCCUGUCUCUUAUAC